AGAAGAGGAGGCUUAGGGGAGACCUUAUUUCUCUCUACAACUCCCAGAAAGGAGGCCAUGGUGAGGUGGGGUUCGGCCUCUUCUCCCAGCUGCUGAGAUCUGGUAGUGACUGGAGCGACAACCAGGACGGAGGCCACUGGGGGAUGGCAGGACCGAAGAGCACAACUGAACGGCUUGGAGCUGUGACUGAUCUGAAAACUAGGGAAUCUCCUGAAAGAUAAAAUGCUUUCAUCAGCACAAGCACUGAAGGCUCAGAACUAGCACUGCAGGUAACUUCCAUCUGGAAUGAGCUGAACGUGCAUUGUUACAGACCUUGUAGUGCAUCCACAACAUUUCUGAAACAGAAUGGGACCCAAAUUACUGUUAUUAAUGAAAUGCUUGCUGCUGCAGUCAGAGAAAGUGAGUUAAAUGACGUGGUGCUUUACAUUUUCUCUCGAGAGUUGGAGAAAAACACUUAGAAAUGAUUCAGACAGUUAUAUUUGGCUUUAUGUCAUUAAACAGAAGUGAUGCCAAACCUCUAAAAACUUUCUCCUUUUGCCAUGGAGUCAACUAGUUUAAAUCAGUUUCUUUAAUUCCACUGAACUCAACAGCACGAGAGCCGAUAACUUGGCCACAUGGCCCAACGAAAUUCCAUUUAAAAGUAAAUAAAUGGAUGUUAUUCUAAUACAGAAUAUCUGAAAGAGGUAAAAAUGGAGUAUAUUUUGCCAGUUGCUGGCUUAAGAGAUAGGGAAUAUUGAUUAAAUUUGUCAAUGUAACUUGGCAGGAGCAAGAAGGGAUGGUUUUAAAUGGCUCUGAGAACACAGAACAAGCAUGAGAUAAUCUACCAACAUUGGUGGGCCCGGCACAACAGACUCUGGCAGUGACUACAAUUGUUUUGUACUUCGUAGAGAUUCAUUUGGCUCUGCAAUAUGCAGACCUCAUAGGCAGAUAGAUAACUCUAGGAGCUCAGGUGUACCCAGGCUCUUUCCUUGGCUCCUCUCCCCUCCUCCCAUGAUCACUAACAGUGUGCAUGUGUAAGAGUAUGAGCCAGUCAGACCGUAAAACACUUUUUUUCCCAUGAAGAGCUUAGCCACAAGGGAUUACAGGUGUUUUCAAUACUAUUCUGAUAUCACUAUUCCUUCCAGUUCAUUUGUUUGUGGAAACACUGUAACUGUUACUGUUCCAGCUGUGAUGGAGAUUAUUUUGGUUUAUAUAAAUAAUCCAUCUACAUAAAAUCCGUAUAUUCUUCUUCUCUUUAUAACUAUUUCAUGUUUUCAACGUGUUGCCAGGAACAAAUAAAGAGAAUGGAAAAUUUACUGAGGCUGUUUGCAUCUAUAGUAACAAUCAUCACCAUAUGUGAAUCACAAGCUUUUGAGACAAAGAUGAUGAGAAACACUGUAACUGUGUUUUCAGGGAAUGUGAACCGUGACUCCAUGAGGUUCUGUGCAUGAUCCCAUCCUCUUCCUCAGCAGUUUCCCCAGCAGUGCAGAUGUCAGUCAGGUCAAAUGAGCAAGAAAGCACAUCCAGAUGACCUGAUCAAAAUCCUGCUACAGCCAGUGCAAAUACUCUGCGUCAUCCCGUUUGGAAGGGUUUUGGGGAUGGUUGACAGGAGAAACUGUGACUCACAGAGCAUCAUUACAGACACAGUGCCAAGGCACCUAGGGGCAGCAGGAGGGGGCAUUCAGGAAUCGGAGGUCCUGGCAGCAUCCACUGCAGCUUUGAAAAAGUUUCCCACAGUGCUCAUCAGUAGGAUCAAGUCCUGUUUAAUCAGACUCUGGAUAGGGAGCGAGGAUCUGGCUCAAAAAGGAGAACAGUGCCAACAAAGAUCCUUUUAUAAGAACCGUCAUGCCAGACAAAUAUGUUUUCUGUAGUAGCUGCUAUCUGCAGACUUUUUGCAUCUGGGGAAAACUGAUGCAAAACUGAUGAAUAAUCUGAGGCUGCAAUUCCAGGAACGUUUCUUCAAAAGCAGAACUGGCACGUGGUUGGUGUGGAAAUGCUGAGCUGGACCAAGGAACUGUCCAGCCUGUAAAAGGGAAACUUUGAUUCCUUCCAGAUUUUUUUUUCCAGCAGGUUCUCUUUGCCAUUUCGGUUCACCACAAAAUGAUGCCAUGCAGUUUAAUACAAUAUAACACAUUAUAGUGGCACUACACAAAUGUUAGAAAGAAUCCAUCGAUUUCUGCGUAAAUAUUAUGAAUGUUCAGUUAAUCCAUUGAGACAAAUUAUUAAAAUAAAUGUGCAUAGUAAUUUUGAUUGAGUUCAUCACCAUAUGCUACUCUUAGUAAUACCAACUAUCCAUAUUCUUGCCAUUCCAGGGUAAAAAUUACCAAGAGUGUUCCUUUUAGGUAUUUCUAUACCCUGCUGUUAAAAAAACAUCAAUGGCAGAAUUUCCACAACUCACAUGGAAGCCCAUCUCAGUGUUCAGCUGCCUUUCUAGUCUGAAAACAUUCAGUGAUGCCAACUGAAUGAUCCUUCAUUGCAUUUUAUGCCAUCUUCUCUCUGUCCUGCCAUCAAAGGUGAUGCAGAAAAGGCAUCCUGGACCCAUUGGACCAGUGCAUACAGCCACCGCUGUGGCUUAGUGUUUGAAAGCCAUAAUUAAAAUGUAUGGAGAUUUAAGCCUACAAUAACCCUUUCCAAAAAAAAUUGUCAAUGGCAAUGGGAAACAUUUUGAGCCUUUUAAUAUCCUGUUGAAAGUACUCAUCCAGAUUGACCAAAUUCUUCUUUUAGGACUCUUGGAUUCCUCACUAGUAGCAACUUCUCUCAUGACUACAGCUCCAGUUCCACACAAGGCUUAUUCUACCCUGGUAAACAAUGGCUUGGAUGGAAUUAAGCACAAUUCUAUGACAUUUCAGCUGGACUCCAGCAAUUGCCCAGAGAGGUUGUGGAUGCCCCGUC